AGGAAAAAAGGGUCUUUUCAUACUCCUGAAAUUCCUGACCAUCCAGCUAUUGGGCUUAUAGAUCUAGUUGUACUCAACUAAAAUAAUUUAAAUGUGAAUGAGGUGAACUUUCAGAGAAAUUGUCUGUUUAAGAAACUUGUAGUGUUCCUGGUUCACUUCACUCAAGUUUUUCAUCACUGGUGGCACAACAGGUGCCAAGGACUUAAAGAUCAGAUAGAGCCUCUCAAAAAUAUCUUACAGCAAGGAUGGCAAGAAUGUACAGAUGCUUAUGACAAGUGUCAUGAAAAGGAUAACUGCUGGGGCUGGAGAGAUGGCUCAGCGGUUAAGAGCACCCGACUCUCUUCUAGAGGUCCUGAGUUCAAUUCCCAGCACCACAUGGAGGCUCACAACCAUCUGUAAUAAGAUCUGAUGCCCUCUUCUGGUGUGUCUGAAGACAGCUACAGUGUACUUAUAAUAAAUAAAUAAAUAAGUAAAUAAAUAUUAAUAAAUAAAUAGAAGGAUAA
rnacentral:lncRNA from 1 species